GCCUAACCUAACACACAAUAAAACAACUAAUUGUUCGCCAAACAACUACGAGUAAAAACUUAAAACUUAAAAGACUUGACGGUACUUUACACCACCCUAGAGGAGCCUGUCUAAUAACCGAUACUCCACGAUCAACCCAACCCCCCCUAGCCAAACAGUCUAUAUACCGCCAUCGCCAGCUUACCUUGUGAAAGAAACAAAGUAAACGCAAUAGCCACCCCUAAUACGAUAGGUCGAGGUGUAACUAAUGGGCGGGAAAAAGAUGGGCUACAUUUUCUAACACAGAAAAUACGAAUAGACUAUGAAAAUAGAAACCGAAGGCGGAUUUAGCAGUAUGCUAAGGACAAAAUACUUAACCGAAACAAACGCAAUGAAGUGCGUACACACCGCCCGUCAUCCCUGCCAAAAAUCAAUAAUACUCCAUAAAAUAUAAAACAAACUAAACAGGGCAAGUCGUAACAUGGUAAGCGUACUGGAAAGUGCGCUUAGAAA
rnacentral:rRNA from 1 species